ensembl:lncRNA
CUGCUGAUGCCCCCUGAGUCUGCAGCUCUGCCGGGGCCCCAAGCGGGGCCUUCUCUCUCCUGCUGGGGUUUUCUUGUGUUUGUGGGCAGCCCUGAAGGCCCUCUCCACCCUUGAGCACAGAGAUGGGGCAGACGGAACCCUCUGGAAAGCAGGACUUCCUGAGUGACCUGGAACUUCUACUGCUCAACUUGAUCCUCAAAUAGAGGCCCAAACCUUUGGUCCUCAAGGGUCAGGUGGGCCCUUUCUUGUGGACCGGGUGAAGCCAGUUGGGGUGAGACAUGUGCAGUCUGCCUGAAGUCAGCCAGUCCCCUGCAGGCAUCAGGGUCUUUUCCAAUGAGAUGGCUCUUCACAUCAGGUGGCCAAAAUGCUUGAGCUUCAGCUUCAGCAACAGACCUUCCAGUGAAUACUCAGAGUUAAUUUCCUUUAGGAUUGACUGGUUUGAUCUGGCAGUCUAAGGGACUCUCAAGAGUUUUCUCCAGCGCCACAGUUCAAAAGCAUCAAUUCUUCGGCACUCAGCCUUCUCUGUAAUCCAAUUCUCACAUCCGUACAUGACAGCCAUAAAAUG